GACGAACGCUGGCGGCGCGCCUAACACAUGCAAGUCGAACGAGCGAGAGAGAGCUUGCUUUCUCGAGCGAGUGGCGAACGGGUGAGUAACGCGUGAGGAACCUGCCUCAAAGAGGGGGACAACAGUUGGAAACGACUGCUAAUACCGCAUAAGCCCACGGGUCGGCAUCGACCAGAGGGAAAAGGAGCAAUCCGCUUUGAGAUGGCCUCGCGUCCGAUUAGCUAGUUGGUGAGGUAACGGCCCACCAAGGCAACGAUCGGUAGCCGGACUGAGAGGUUGAACGGCCACAUUGGGACUGAGACACGGCCCAGACUCCUACGGGAGGCAGCAGUGGGGAAUAUUGCACAAUGGGGGAAACCCUGAUGCAGCGACGCCGCGUGGAGGAAGAAGGUCUUCGGAUUGUAAACUCCUGUUGUUGAGGAAGAUAAUGACGGUACUCAACAAGGAAGUGACGGCUAACUACGUGCCAGCCGCCGCAGUAAUAC
rnacentral:rRNA from 1 species